CAAAUCAAAUACUAGGUUUGUUUAAUAUAAAACUUAAAUAAAAAAAUUAAGCCGCUUCUUCGUCACGAAUUGAGACUAGGCAUCUCUUCACCUUCACCAUCGCCGUCGCCAUCUUUUGUCCUUUGCCCCAAAGAUUUCAACUUGAUGUACCAGUAUUUGAAAGGGUUUUCCCUAGGUACCUAUAUCAGCAGCUUUGAAAGUAAUCAAAUUUUACUUCACUAGUCGCACAACAACAGUUCUUACUUGGAAUCGAUAUUGUGGCUGACAUUCUUCCUCAUCAUCAUCGUGAUCCUCGUCAUCACUAUAUUCAUCUUCAACUUUGUCCCAUCGUGCGUAAUCCAAACCAGAGGAGCAACCACAGCUCUUACUCGGAAUCAGCUUUUUGGUUGAGACAGAACUCAGAUCUGUCAUGGCCCGUGGUAACAUAGCUCAGAUAUGCCAUUUGGUUCGAAUAAGGGCAGCGUUUUGGGGCGCGGAGGGAAGGGCCAUGGAGGCUGGUGGUGGAGGAGAAGAAGUCAAACCUUAUCAAUGUUGAUUUUCAGGUUGGGGAUCAAGAUAACUUUAGCCGUUCGAUCAAACAGAUGUAUAGGUAUGAUUUUGCCAUUUGGUUUAAAAAAAUUAAAAUAGUUAUUGUCCACUUUGGAUUUUGUCAUACCACAUAAGCAAAAACACAAUUGGAAUUGACGGUCAACUUGACACGUCAGAUAGUUGACUGCCCCAAAAA